rnacentral:sRNA from 1 species
UACACAUUUUCGGUUCUGAUGUCUGUGCUAGUUAUCCUGCCAUUUUUGUCUUUUCUGUGGUCCUGUCUUUGACAGCUGGUACGAUGUAUUUACAUCCAGUUCCUACCUAGGCAUUGAGACAGUUGUGUAUUAUACCAGCAUUAUGUCCAUUCUUGGCUCCUGGGCUGGGGCAGCAGCUAUUCCUCUUGACUGGGACAGACCCUGGCAGGCUUGGCCAAUAAGUUGCGCUGUUGGUGCUAUCUUUGGUUACUGUUUGGGUCUUCUCUUUGGAGCCGUUCAACUACCGAGAGAACUUUUAAAUAAUAAAUGGAAAGUAAUCUGAAACUGUCAAAAUUAAUGCAACUGAUUUUAUAUUGAUGUUUUAUAAGAGACCAAUGUUAAAUUUUAUAUAAACUUGAUGCCUGUAUAAAAUGAUGUAUUACACUAGUGAUGUAUUUAGUAUGUUAUAUUAACAUCAUUCAAAUAUAUUGCUUUUUCAGUGUAAAUAAACUUGUUAUCACAAUAUAUAAAUACAUAUUACCCAUAGAUAA